CCGGCCCAACUACGUGCCCAGCAGCCGCGGUAAUACGUAGGGUGCGAGCGUUGUCCGGGAAUUACUGGGCGUAAAGAGCUCGUAGGCGGUUUGUCGCGUCGUCUGUGAAAUCCCGCAGCUCAACUGCGGGCUUGCAGGCGAUACGGGCAGACUCGAGUACUGCAGGGGAGACUGGAAUUCCUGGUGUAGCGGUGAAAUGCGCAGAUAUCAGGAGGAACACCGGUGGCGAAGGCGGGUCUCUGGGCAGUAACUGACGCUGAGGAGCGAAAGCGUGGGUAGCGAACAGGAUUAGAUACCCUGGUAGUCCACGCCGUAAACGGUGGGCGCUAGGUGUGGGUUUCCUUCCACGGGAUCCGUGCCGUAGCCAACGCAUUAAGCGCCCCGCCUGGGGAGUACGGCCGCAAGGCUAAAACUCAAAGGAAUUGACGGGGGCCCGCACAAGCGGCGGAGCAUGUGGAUUAAUUCGAUGCAACGCGAAGAACCUUACCUGGGUUUGACAUGUACCGGACGACUGCAGAGAUGUGGUUUCCCUUGUGGCCGGUAGACAGGUGGUGCAUGGCUGUCGUCAGCUCGUGUCGUGAGAUGUUGGGUUAAGUCCCGCAACGAGCGCAACCCUUGUCCUGUGUUGCCAGCACGUGAUGGUGGGGACUCGCAGGAGACUGCCGGGGUCAACUCGGAGGAAGGUGGGGACGACGUCAAGUCAUCAUGCCCCUUAUGUCCAGGGCUUCACACAUGCUACAAUGGUCGGUACAGAGGGCUGCGAUACCGUGAGGUGGAGCGAAUCCCUUAAAGCCGGUCUCAGUUCGGAUCGGGGUCUGCAACUCGACCCCGUGAAGUCGGAGUCGCUAGUAAUCGCAGAUCAGCAACGCUGCGGUGAAUACGUUCCCGGGCCUUGUACACACCGCCCGU
rnacentral:rRNA from 1 species